AUUGAACGCUGGCGGCAGGCCUAACACAUGCAAGUCGAACGGUAACAGGAAGAAGCUUGCUUCUUUGCUGACGAGUGGCGGACGGGUGAGUAAUGUCUGGGAAACUGCCUGAUGGAGGGGGAUAACUACUGGAAACGGUAGCUAAUACCGCAUAACGUCGCAAGACCAAAGAGGGGGACCUUCGGGCCUCUUGCCAUCGGAUGUGCCCAGAUGGGAUUAGCUAGUAGGUGGGGUAACGGCUCACCUAGGCGACGAUCCCUAGCUGGUCUGAGAGGAUGACCAGCCACACUGGAACUGAGACACGGUCCAGACUCCUACGGGAGGCAGCAGUGGGGAAUAUUGCACAAUGGGCGCAAGCCUGAUGCAGCCAUGCCGCGUGUAUGAAGAAGGCCUUCGGGUUGUAAAGUACUUUCAGCGGGGAGGAACGGAGUAAAGUUAAUACCUUUGCUCAUUGACGUUACCCGCAGAAGAAGCACCGGCUAACUCCGUG
rnacentral:rRNA from 1 species